GACGAACGCUGGCGGCGUGCUUAACACAUGCAAGUCGUACGGAAAGGCCUGCUUUCCCUUGUGGAUUGCGGGUACUCGAGUGGCGAACGGGUGAGUAACACGUGAGUGAUCUGCCCCCAACUUGGGUAUAAGCCUGGGAAACUGGGUCUAAUUCCCGAUAGGACUGCAGGGUGGCGCCUGUGGUGGAAAACGAUUUUCUAGUGGUUGGGGAUGAGCUCGCGGCCUAUCAGCUUGUUGGUGGGGUAAUGGCCUACCAAGGCGGCGACGGGUAGCCGGCCUGGGAGGGUGGACGGCCACAUUGGGAUUGAGAUACGGCCCAGACUGCUACGGGAGGCAGCAGUGGGGAAUAUUGCACAAUGGGCGGAAGCCUGAUGCAGCGACGCCGCGUGGGGGAUGACGGCCUUCGGGUUGUAAACUCCUUUCGACCGCGAGGAAGCCACCUGGUUGGAAGGGUGGUGACGGUAGUGGUAGAAGAAGCACCGGCUAACUACGUG
rnacentral:rRNA from 1 species